rnacentral:rRNA from 1 species
UACGUAGGGGGCGAGCGUUGUCCGGAUUUAUUGGGCGUAAAACGCUUGUAGGUGGCUACGUCAAGUCGGACGUGAAAAUCUCCCGGCUUAACUGGGAGGGGGUCGCUCGAUACUGGCGAGCUCGAGGCAGGUAGGGGGAAGCGGAAUUCCCGGUGUAGUGGUGGAAUGCGUAGAUAUCAGGAGGAACACCAAUGGCGAAGGCAGCUCGCUGGGACGGUACUGACGCUGAGACGCGAAAGCGUGGGGAGCGAACAGG